CCAUGCAUGUGUAAGUAUAGUAUCUACAGCGAAACUGCGAAUGGCUCAUUAAAACAGUUAUAGUUUAUUUGAUGGAUUCCUAUAUGGAUAACCGUAGUAAUUCUAGAGCUAAUACAUGCUUGAAAUGUCCGACUUAAAGAGGACAGUGUUUAUUAGAUAAAGCCAGCAUAAGGUGAUUCACAAUAACUACACAAAUCGCACUUUUGGUACGAUGCGUCAUUCAAGUAUCUGCCCUAUCAGCUUUGAUGGUAGUGUAUUGGACUACCAUGGCUUUAACGGGUAACGGAGAAUUAGGGUUCGGUUCCGGAGAAAGAGCCUGAGAAACGGCUAUUACAUCUAAGGACGGCAGCAGGGGCGUAAAUUACCCAAUCUUAAUUUAAGGAGGUAGUGACAAGAAAUAUCGACUUUGGAGAAAUCCAGAGAUUGGAAUGGGCUAAACACAAAACCCUUAGUGAGUAACAAUUGGAGGGCAAGUCUGGUGCCAGCAGCCGCGGUAAUUCCAGCUCCAAUAGCAUAUAUUAAAGUUGUUGCAGUUAAAAAGCUCGUAGUUGGAUAUCUGGCUCUACUGAGUCUAUGAA
rnacentral:rRNA from 1 species